AGAGUUUGAUCCUGGCUCAGAUUGAACGCUGGCGGCAGGCCUAACACAUGCAAGUCGAACGGUAACAUUUCUAGCUUGCUAGAAGAUGACGAGUGGCGGACGGGUGAGUAAUGCUUGGGAACUUGCCUUUGCGAGGGGGAUAACAGUUGGAAACGACUGCUAAUACCGCAUAAUGUCUUCGGACCAAACGGGGCUUCGGCUCCGGCGCAAAGAGAGGCCCAAGUGAGAUUAGCUAGUUGGUAAGGUAACGGCUUACCAAGGCGACGAUCUCUAGCUGUUCUGAGAGGAAGAUCAGCCACACUGGGACUGAGACACGGCCCAGACUCCUACGGGAGGCAGCAGUGGGGAAUAUUGCACAAUGGGGGAAACCCUGAUGCAGCCAUGCCGCGUGUGUGAAGAAGGCCUUCGGGUUGUAAAGCACUUUCAGUUGUGAGGAAAAGUUAGUAGUUAAUACCUGCUAGCCGUGACGUUAACAACAGAAGAAGCACCGGCUAACUCCGUGCCAGCAGCCGCGGUAAUACGGAGGGUGCGAGCGUUAAUCGGAAUUACUGGGCGUAAAGCGCACGCAGGCGGUUUGUUAAGCUAGAUGUGAAAGCCCCGGGCUCAACCUGGGAUGGUCAUUUAGAACUGGCAGACUAGAGUCUUGGAGAGGGGAGUGGAAUUCCAGGUGUAGCGGUGAAAUGCGUAGAUAUCUGGAGGAACAUCAGUGGCGAAGGCGACUCCCUGGCCAAAGACUGACGCUCAUGUGCGAAAGUGUGGGUAGCGAACAGGAUUAGAUACCCUGGUAGUCCACACCGUAAACGCUGUCUACUAGCUGUGUGUGCCUUUAACGCGCGCGUAGCGAAGCUAACGCGCUAAGUAGACCGCCUGGGGAGUACGGCCGCAAGGUUAAAACUCAAAUGAAUUGACGGGGGCCCGCACAAGCGGUGGAGCAUGGUGGUUUAAUUCGAUGCAACGCGAAGAACCUUACCUACCACUUGACAUGCUGAGAACUUUCUGGAGAUAGAUUGGUGCCUUCGGGAACUCAGAACACAGUGCUGCAUGCUGUCGUCAGCUCUGUCUGGAGAUGGUUUGGUUAGUCCCGCACGAGCCACCCUUGUUCUUUAUUGGCAGCUAGUUGGGCUCCUACGGAACUGCCGGUGACAACCGAGAAAGAUGCACACGUACAGUCUCUAUGGCCUUACUGUAGUCACACCCUGCUCUCAUGCCAUUGUUCACAUAGGGUAGCGGGAACAGUAUUGUGGAGUGCGGAC
rnacentral:rRNA from 1 species